rnacentral:rRNA from 1 species
AUUGAACGCUGGCGGCAGGCCUAACACAUGCAAGUCGAGCGGCAGCACGGGUACUUGUACCUGGUGGCGAGCGGCGGACGGGUGAGUAAUGCCUAGGAAUCUGCCUGGUAGUGGGGGAUAACGCUCGGAAACGGACGCUAAUACCGCAUACGUCCUACGGGAGAAAGCAGGGGACCUUCGGGCCUUGCGCUAUCAGAUGAGCCUAGGUCGGAUUAGCUAGUUGGUGAGGUAAUGGCUCACCAAGGCGACGAUCCGUAACUGGUCUGAGAGGAUGAUCAGUCACACUGGAANUGAGACACGGUCCAGACUCCUACGGGAGGCAGCAGUGGGGAAUAUUGGACAAUGGGNGAAAGCCUGAUCCANCCAUGCCGCGUGUGUGAAGAAGGUCUUCGGAUUGUAAAGCACUUUAAGUUGGGAGGAAGGGCAUUUACCUAAUACGUAAGUGUUUUGACGUUACCGACAGAAUAAGCACCGG